GGGUGUAUAGCUCAGUGCUAGAGUGCCUGCUUAGCACGCCUAAGGUCCUGGGUUCAAUCCCCAGUACCUCCA
rfam:Camelus ferus unplaced genomic scaffold scaffold1708, whole genome shotgun sequence.